rnacentral:tRNA from 1 species
GGCCCGAUAGUUCAACGGAUAGAACGGAAGUUUCCUAAACUUUAAAUAGAGGUUCGAUUCCCCUUCGGGCUA